GAUGAACGCUAGCGGGAGGCUUAACACAUGCAAGUCGAGCGGUAGGGCAGCAAUGCCUGAGAGCGGCGCACGGGUGCGUAACGCGUAUGCAACCUGUCUUAUACAGGGGAAUAGCCCAUGGAAACGUGGAUUAAUGUCCCAUAGGAUUACGGAUUCGCAUGUAUUGGUGAUUAAAACUGAGGUGGUAUAAGAUGGGCAUGCGUCUGAUUAGGUAGUUGGUAGGGUAAUGGCCUACCAAGCCGACGAUCAGUAGGGGUUCUGAGAGGAUUACCCCCCACAAUGGUACGGAGACACGGACCAGACUCCUACGGGAGACAGCAGUGAGGAAUAUUGGUCAAUGGCCGGAAGGCUGAACCAGCCAUCCCGCGUGCAGGAUGACGGCCCUAUGGGUUGUAAACUGCUUUUGUACCUGAAGAAACCUGUUUACGAGUAGACAGUUGCCGGUAAGGUAUGAAUAAGCAUCGGCUAACUCCGUGCCAGCAGCCGCAGUAAUAC
rnacentral:rRNA from 1 species